GAGAGAGAAAACCAAACCCAGUGUGGAGCGUUGGGGUCAGAAGGAUCGCGGCCAACGGUGGCAACCACCGGCGACGAUGAUGACAGACGAUGAUGAUGGCGGGCGACAGAUCUGGUUCUCGCGACGACACACACACUCUCUCGUCUUCUAUUUUUGGGAUUGAAGUUAUAAAAAUGUGGUUUAGAGAGAGAGGAAAAUGAUCUUCAUUCAGUGCUUAUAGCACAACAGUAGUGAUUGAAGCUCUAACUAUAUGCUACUACUGUUGGUAAAAGAUGGGCGUUAUGCCAUCUGGACCAAGUGCUUUAGUUGGAUUCAUUUAGUGCAAACCUUCCUCCACUUCAGCAGUUGUGAAAAAUUAUCAUCUUCAUAGCAUUGUGGGCGAGAUAUCCAUGGAAAAGGGGUUGCCCAAAACAUUGUCCAUGUAAUACUGGCGGUGGGCAGUAUCCAUCACUACGAACUGAAUAUCUUCAGAAGGCUUCCAAUGCCAUUUUCUUUGAUUGAUGAACCAGUUGUUUAUUUGCUUCUGAUCCAGGGCAGUUGAUUCAGCUAGAGCCAGCUUCUGUGACUCCUGUUAACAAAGAUGUGGAACGCAUAAAGAUGAUUAAGGCCAACUAAACAUUACAAUGCAGGCUGAAGAAUGCAUAAAUACAUACAUAUAUAUAUAUAUAUUUUAAUUAAGGUGUGCA